ensembl:lncRNA
GUAAGAUGCAGUUAUGUCACAUGCAUAUGCAUGUGUACGUGCACACUUAGUGUCUUCCCUCAUUAGUGAUGUGUCGGUUGUGAACGAAACGGCUCUUACAGCCAAAUCUUUGAAGUGAACGACGCGAGCUGGUUCCUUAUCGCCAGCCGUGGGGUUUUUUCUCCUUUCCUUCUCUCACCCUCUCUCUCGCACUUUUUUUCCGCUUCACUCCUCACGCGAGCCUUGUGCUUUGCGCUGGGGGGAGGGGCGGUAGUUACACUCUCAGUAGCACAGGAACAGAGUGGGAGGGAAAGAGAGAGAAAGAGAGCCAGGAACAACACGUCACAUUAGAAAGGUUUCCGGUUUCCUUCUGUGCAGGAUAACUUGAGGCGUUUCUGGGAGAGGUUUGUGAGAGAGGAUCUGUUGAAGGCCCCUCUUCUGUGGAACCAGCUUCCAGUUUGGAUUCG